GGUGAGACAGCACGGGAAGAAAUAACACACGGGCUUCUGUGCAGCUGGAUAUAAUGAAGGUAACCCCUGCCUACAUUUUACUGUGGAUUCCAAGAGUAGACUGGGCUUCAGGGACCAGAUGCCAGGGCUGGCACAUCUGCCUAAAACCCAUAAUUCUUGAACUCGACGUGCUCAGCCUCUCCAAAGCCGUGGCGCUGACACAGCUCCCCCUGCACGAGUGUACAGCAGUCAGACAGGAACGGGGAGAGGGGGCUCAACUUUCUGACGGCCACUUAGAGGCUGCCUGACCACGAAGACAGGACCGUAAAACAUAUACCGCAUGCGACCUGCUGGUGCUUGGCACUGACCCAGGGGAGGAGGGCCACUUGGGCUGGAAUGCAGUUGCUGGGGGCUCAUGAGGGGCUCAGUGGUGCCCCUGGCCACCGAGUCAAGCAGCGUAGAUUGAUCAGAGGAGCUGAGGCCCACCCUCCCCUUUCUCCUACACGUGGACACCUCUGAGUGGAAUAAGGGAAGACUGUCCUUUCUCCAAGCUUGAAGGAAGAUGUCUGUGACCCUUUUCCUGGACUUCAAGGCAUCGAAGUGUCAGCUGCCUGCCAUCCCAGCGGCUGACAGGGCAGCAGGAGAAAGAGGCCACCUGUAUCAUCCACCAACGCUGCAGCUGAAUGGGAUCGGUGCAGCAUGAUAGAGGCCAGCUGCCCCGCACCAGGUCUGCGUGUCACAGGGCAGAGUGCAUGGUCUCCAUUCACGUGCGGGGCCAGGUGACUGCACGGAGUGAUGAGCUGGGCCCACUUUCCUGCUACUGGCCGCCAGCAAAGAAUACAAGGGGUUUCCCUUCCCUUCCCUUCCCUAUCGACAGCCUUGCAGGGUGGUGGUUUCCUUUGCCUGGAGAGUUCAGAGGCCUUAGUUCUGGAAAGCCUCCUGUGGGGAGAUGGAGUGGCGGGGAUAGGGACCAGAGCAGAGAGGGCAGCAGCAUAAACAAAGAGGACAGGCAAACUGUUUGAGCCCAGGAGUUUGAGACCAGCCUGGGCAACAUGGUGAAACCCUGUCUCUAUAAAAAAUAUAAAACUUAGCUGGGUGUGGUGGCACAUGCCUAUGGUCCCGGGUAUCUGGAGCAUGGGGUAGUGGUGGGGUGGUGGGAGGAUCAUCUGAGCCUGGGGAGGUCGAGGCCGCAGUAAGCUAGGAUUGUAUCACUGCACUCCAGCCUUGGCAACAGAGAGAGAUCUUAUCUCAGAACAAAACAAAAAAAUCGGAGAAGGGAUUUCUCUGAUUUCUCUGAUUUCUCCCUUUGGGAAGGGAGGCUUGGAGGCUGCCUGGGGCUGAGCAGGGAGCACCAUGCUUCUAGGCCUUUGGGGAGGUUUCGAGGUCCAAGUGUGACUUAGAGGAACUGGGAGAUGCCAGCAGACACUGCGACCCAAAGGGGCCUGGCUUGGGAUCUAUGCAGCUGUGGGAGGGGAGAGGCCCUCCCCGCUACCAGAUGCAGACUGUGGUGCCCUGAAGCCUGGCGUCUGAGCCAGAUCUGACUUUGUGUAGAAGCAUAAAAGGAAUAGGAUGUUUGUGAUGGCUGAGCGUCAUGGAGCAAUUCAUACCUGUUCCUGGAGCAAUCUAUUUUUAGCCUUGUUAACCUGAACUGUACUUUAAAAUUUAAACUAAAUGCAGGCUCUUUUCUACCCAUGAUUUAUUAGACCUCCCCUUUCUAUCAAAUUAAAGCUCUGCACAAAUGAAACAAUUUAUCCUCAUCUAAUUUAUAACCACCCUCCCACACUAGGAAUAUGGAGCCAGGAAUGAGGGAGGUUCACGUGGGAGGCGGCAACUGCAGAACAGACAGCUCUUUGGAUUUCUUUAAAUUGCUAUUUAAUUCCAUCCAUCAACCCAUUUUUCUGCUGUAUACAUAGAAAAGGACAAUAACCACUCCCUCAACCAAAUAUCCCUACAUUCAGUUAAAAGCUACUCUGUACCCCAGGACAUGGGAGCAGCUCCUAUCCUUCCCAGGUGAAAAAGUAGGCUUUUUUUCCCCCUUAAGGCUAAAUAGGAUUUCUUUUCUGUUAGCUAUGGGUAGGUGACUUCUUAAUGAUCUUUAAGGAAAGAAGUCAAUGCAAGGAAAAUAUCCUUUUUUAAUCCCAUUUUCCUUCUCACCCCACACUGAGCGUUACUAUAGCAACAUCUUCCCUGCUACUAGGACAGUUAAGUCCCCCUGUGAAGUUAACCGAAAGCUGCUUUUUCACUCAAGAGAAGGGGCUGCUGUUCAUUGACCAGCUUUUCCCUGCGUGUCUAAAUUCUUCGGUUCUCUCUGACAUGCUCAAACUAGGGUUUCCCAUUGCUAAACCCUAAAAGUCACUUCGAAACUCCUAACAGCAGAAUUCCCCAAACCUUUUCAGAACUGAACUCAUUAGAAAUGAAUUUACAUUUUGAUUUAGUUAUAAAUAACUUUUCUUCUGUGUAUUGGUUUAAGUUUAGAAAAGGCCCCCUGUAAAGAAGACAAGUUGGAGAAUAAUCUCCCAUAUUCCUCUGCCAUCCUUUCUUUCCUUCCUUUCCUUGAGAUGGAGUCUCUCUCUGUCGCCCAGGCUGGAGUGCAGUGGAGUGAUCUCAGCUCACUGCAACCUCUGCCUCCCGGGUUCAAGCGAUGCUCCUGCCUCAGCCUCUCGAGUAGCUGGGACUACAGGCAUGCACCACCACGCCUGGCUAAUUUUUUGUAUUUUUAGUAGAGACAGCGUUUCACCGUGUAAGCUAGGAUGGUCUCGAUCUCCUGACCUCAUGAUCGGCCCGCCUCGGCCUCCCAAUGUGCUGGGAUUACAGGUAUGAGCCACCGUGGCUGGCCUCCUUUUUCUUUAAAAACAUACAUACAUAUAUGUAAAAACAAAAGAAAAUUUCAGGACCUUCCAAAUUUCAUAGGCCUAGAGGAAAGUUAAGCCCUGGAAAUGGAGUUGUGAGAGCAGGCUGUUUUUCCUUUCUGGUGCGUGACCACUGCUUCCUGAUUUUUGUGUUGAGAUCUUAGACAUUAACCAGACUUAUAGCCUUCAUUCAAACCAGACUGAAUGAUGUGGGAGGUAGGGACCUUGGUCAUUGUUAUCUCUUUAUAAUAAAAUGCUAAGCAACCCCCUUAGAGUGAAA